CUAAUACAUGCAAGUCGAACGAGAGCGACCGGUGCUUGCACUGGUCAAUCUAGUGGCGAACGGGUGAGUAACACGUGGGUAACCUGCCCAUCAGAGGGGGAUAACAUUCGGAAACGGAUGCUAAAACCGCAUAGGUCUUCGAACCNCAUGGUUUGAAGAGGAAAAGAGGCGCAAGCUUCUGCUGAUGGAUGGACCCGCGGUGCAUUAGCUAGUUGGUGAGGUAACGGCUCACCAAGGCCGUGAUGCAUAGCCGACCUGAGAGGGUGAUCGGCCACAUUGGGACUGAGACACGGCCCAAACUCCUACGGGAGGCAGCAGUAGGGAAUCUUCCGCAAUGGACGCAAGUCUGACGGAGCAACGCCGCGUGAGUGAAGAAGGUUUUCGGAUCGUAAAACUCUGUUGUUAGAGAAGAACAAGUGCUAGAGUAACUGUUAGCGCCUUG
rnacentral:rRNA from 1 species